rnacentral:rRNA from 1 species
AGAUUGAACGCUGGCGGCAGGCCUAACACAUGCAAGUCGAGCGGUAGAGAGGUGCUUGCAUCUCUUGAGAGCGGCGGACGGGUGAGUAAUGCCUAGGAAUCUGCCUAGUGGUGGGGGAUAACGUUCGGAAACGGACGCUAAUACCGCAUACGUCCUACGGGAGAAAGCGGGGGACUUCGGGCCUCGCGCCAUUAGAUGAGCCUAGGUCGGAUUAGCUAGUCGGUGAGGUAAGUAGGCUCACCAAGGCGACGAUCCGUAACUGGUCU